rnacentral:rRNA from 1 species
CUGUGUCCUUCGACGCCGGUUCACCGCSUGUCGGUGMCAACUGGCGUUUUGCGGGACGUCCUGUCGGUGGUGUGUCAGGAAUCUUAGUUGUGCUAUGCUYUGCUUAGUGCAGCUCUGGUUUCGGGCCACUUUCAUAAUCCCGCCGCGGUGCUCUUAAUCGAGUGUCGAGGCGGGCCGGCACGUUUACUUUGAACAAAUUAGAGUGCUUCAAGCAGGCUUGUCACGCCUGUAUACUGUGUGCAUGGAAUAAUGGAAUAGGACCUCGGUUCUAUUUUGUUGGUUUCCGGAAUCUGAGGUAAUGAUCAAUGGGGACAGGCGGGGGCAUUCGUAUUGCGACGUUAGAGGUGAAAUUCUUGGAUCGUCGCAAGACGGACCGAAGCGAAAGCAUUUGCCAAGUAUGUUCCCGUCGAUCAAGAACGAAAGUUAGAGGUUCGAAGGCGAUCAGAUACCGCCCUAGUUCUAACCAUAAACAAUGCCUGCCAGCGAUCCGCCGGCGUCCCUCCGAUGACCCGGCGGGCAGCUUCCGGGAAACCAGAGCUUUUGGGUUCCGGGGGAAGUAUGGUUGCAAAGCUGAAACUUAAAGGAAUUGACGGAAGGGCACCACCAGGAGUGGAGCCUGCGGCUUAAUUUGACUCAACACGGGAAAACUCACCAGGCCCGGACACCGGAAGGAUUGACAGAUUGAUAGCUCUUUCUUGAUUCGGUGGGUGGUGGUGCAUGGCCGUUCUUAGUUGGUGGAGCGAUUUGUCUGGUUAAUUCCGAUAACGAACGAGACUCUAGCCUACUAAAUAGACGUAUCUGGUAUCAGCAAUCGUGCUACCAGCGAUCAUAUCUCUUCUUAGAGGGACAGGCGGCUUCUAGCCGCACGAGACUGAGCAAUAACAGGUCUGUGAUGCCCUUAGAUGUCCUGGGCCGCACGCGCGCUACACUGAAGGAAUCAGCGUGUCUUCCCUGUCCGAAAGGACCGGGUAACCCGCUGAACCUCCUUCGUGCUUGGGAUUGGGGCUUGCAAUUGUUCCCCAUGAACGAGGAAUUCCCAGUAAGCGCGAGUCAUAAGCUCGCGUUGAUUACGUCCCUGCCCUUUGUACACACCGCCCGUCGCUACUACCGAUUGAAUGAUUUAGUGAGGUCUUCGGACCGGUGCGCGGAGGCGGUCUUCCGCUCCCGAUGUUGUCGGAAAGAUGACCAAACUUGAUCAUU